rnacentral:rRNA from 1 species
ACGCACGCUGGCGGCGUGCUUAACCCAUGCAAGUCGAACGGAAAGGCCCUGCUUUUGUGGGGUGCUCGAGUGGCGAACGGGUGAGUAACACGUGAGUAACCUGCCCUUGACUUUGGGAUAACUUCAGGAAACUGGGGCUAAUACCGGAUAGGAGCUCCUGCUGCCUGGUGGGGGUUGGAAAGUUUCGGCGGUUGGGGAUGGACUCGCGGCUUAUCAGCUUGUUGGUGGGGUAGUGGCUUACCAAGGCUUUGACGGGUAGCCGGCCUGAGAGGGUGACCGGCCACAUUGGGACUGAGAUACGGCCCAGACUCCUACGGGAGGCAGCAGUGGGGAAUAUUGCACAAUGGGCGGAAGCCUGAUGCAGCAACGCCGCGUGCGGGAUGACGGCCUUCGGGUUGUAAACCGCUUUCGCCUGUGACGAAGCGUGAGUGACGGUAAUGGGUAAAGAAGCACCGGCUAACUACGUG